GUCACCUCUGGGGUGCCUCCCAUGUCAGGUCAGCUUUUAGAGCUAUGGAGGGAGGAGGCCCCAGAGCACCCAGGCCUUGCCCGUCACAGGGAGAACCCCUGAUUCCUUCUUGGUAUCACUGUAUCUUUGUUCUCCAGGGAACCCAACCUGUUCUCCAGCCCCUCAGGCAGCACCGGCAGCUCCUGGCAAGGUCCCAGGGCCCUCUGCACCUGCUGUGGCUCACGUCCCCUACAAUGGCUACCGAGAAGAGCCAAGUUACCCCAGGCCUGUGCAGGACACACAGCCACCAAAGUCCCCAGGAGAGGUAUGUCCUCAGGGUUCACCCCAGGCUGCCUGUUUUUAUGUUCUUGUCUGCUCACUUCUGUGCCCCCACCUCCAGCCUCUUGGAAGUCUUUGCCUGCCUCCCACAAGUCAUGCCUGAUCUCUGUUAAGGACCCCAGGCUCCUUCAGUGGGGACCUGCUUCAGCCCAGCUCCCAGACUACUGACAAGGUCUGAGGCAGCCCCCAGCACUGUCAUCAAACAGCUUGGGAGGCCACGCUUUACCACGUGGUCAUGCGAGAUGUUGAGCUGGGUGGAAGAACCUGGGAGUGACCAGACUGGGGAGUAGGGUGAGGGAACUGGAGGUCUCGGGUGGCUGGAGGGGCUGUAAUUAUCACAGUAAAGUUAAGUGUAGAGAAAAGAUGACAAAUUAUAUGGAGAUAUGAUAAGUGGGCUGUGGGGUAUCAGGAGACACCAAACUGUGGACCUGAAACCACAGGGUUUGUGUAGAAACCCCUGAAGAAAGUGCUGUGUGCAGUGGAGACCUCCACAUGGCCAGACAGAUGGAUAGGGACCCCCAUAGGACAGUGUGUGUGUGUGUGUGUGUGUGUGUGUGUGUGUUUUAAAGUCCUGAGGACUGAACCCAGGGUCUCGUGCAUGCUAGGCAAGUGCUCUACCACUGAGGUAUACCCCCAGUUCCCUGGGGUGUUUUCUUUGAGCCCAUCAGUGUCCAGUUCCCAGAUGUAAGAUCAUCUGUGGACAGAGGGUCUGGCAAUGACCAGAAAUAAGAAAAGAGCUCCUUUAGAAGUUGUCCUUAGCUGGGCACAAUGGCGAAUGCCUAUAAUACUAGUGACUCAGGAGGCUGAGGCAGGAAGAUUGCAAGUUUGAGGCCAGCCUAAGCAACUUAGCAAGGCCCAGAGCAACUUAGCAAGACCCUGUCUCAAAAUAAAAAACAAAAAGGGCUGGGAUGUAGUUCAGUGGUAAAGCACUCCUGGAUUCAAUCCUUAAUACCCCCAUUACCACCACCAAAAAAAAAAAAAAAAAAGGAGAUGCCCCAGGAACAUCAGCUGUUCUUUGCCAGCUCUUGUCAGCCAUUUCUCUCUCUCUCAGAGUUCAGAGCCAGCCCCACAGAUACCCAGUUCCAGGGGAGUCCUGAGGAGACCUGCUGGCUCCUUGGAGCCCUCCUCUAACCCAACAUCCCUCAGCCUUCCGACUUCCAGCAGGCAUCAGGAGCAGGAUCGAGAACUGGGUGGUACCCACAUAGCAGGUAUGCAUGGGAUAUGAUGUUGGAGGGCCUGUUUGACCUCCCAAGUGAAGGUUAGGAUUAGAGUUGCCCCUUGGGCUUCCUUGAACAGGAGCAAAGUGGGAAUAAAGUGCAUUUACCCCAGGUACCAAACCAGUUCCUCAGUGAGUGUAUCAGUUAGUAUUUGCUGUGUAACAAACAGUCUAAAAAACAUUAUUAUAAGUAGAUUAAAAUACAAGCGUUUAUUUAGCACACAGCUGACCCAGCUAAACAGUUCUUCUGGUCUUGGCUGAAUUUCCUCUCCUGAACUCACUGAUACAUAUACUUAUUCUGCUUCUGACUUAUUGGAUGGGGCACCUUUAUUCCCUUCCAUGGGGUUUCAUAUCCUCUAGCACACAGGCCUUUCCCAUGGCAACUGGACAGAGACCUCUAAGUGAAGAAGAAAGGACUCUUGAGGCAUAGACUCCAAACUGGCACAGUGUCCUUCCUUCUUCACUCUGUGGGCCUAAGCAAGUUAUAAAGGACAGCCCAGAUUCAUGAGAAAUUGACUCCAUUCUUAGAUGGGAGGCCUAUAGAUUAGCCAGGACCUGGAGGAUGGGGAAAGACAGUACAAAGCUGGUCUGGCUAUUGGCAGAGGAGCCCUUCAGUACUGCCCUACUACCAAGGGGUGUCCAGUUCCCAGAAAGUCACUAAAAUAUCUCAACCCCCAGAGGAAGCAUGUCUAUCAUCAGCCAGGUGCCUGGACACUACACCAGAUCUCAGUACUCCCCCUCAAGGCUGUGUAGCUGACCACCCUGACCUGGCGUGUCUUUCUACUACUUCCCAAACUGUAUUCCAUAUGACACUUGUGCCUGGCCUGCCCUCAGUACCCUGGAACAGCCACAAGGCACAGGGAUAUUUAAAAGUUAGGAGAAACCAUCUUGUGCCCUCCACUCUUGUCACCCCCAAAUAGUCCUGAGCACCUGUUUGCACUUUACAGUGUUAUUUUGUCAUGGAAUGCCUUUUAGGAGGUGCUUCUAUGAACCAUGAAGGCAAAGGCACCUGAUUUCAGUGCAUUGAUGGACACAGGUUCCACGAGAGUCUGUGGUACUGCAUUUAGGGGAGGGGACAUGAGACAUCACUUCUUUUUUAGAAUUUGGGGGGUUUUAGAUAUACAUGACAGUAAAGUGUAUUUUGACAUAUUAUACAUGCAUGGAGCGUAACUUAUUCUAAUUGGGAUCCCCAUUCUUUUUUUUUUUCUUCCUAUACUGGGAAUUGAACUCAGAGGCACUCAACCCCUAAGCCACAUCCCCAGACCUAUUCUGUAUUUUAUUUAGAGACAGGGUCUCACUGAGUUGCUUAGCACCUUGUCAUUGCUGAGGCUGGCUUUGAACUCGUGAUCCUCCUGUUUCAGUUUCCUGAGCUGCUGGGAUUACAAGCAUGUGCCACCACGCCCAGCUUGGGAUCCCAUUCUUGUGGUUGUACAUGAUGUGGAGUUUCAGGCAUCACUUCUGACCUUUGUCAACCUUGGGGUCUGGUGUGUGCAUCCUUAGAGUUCCUGAUGACACUGCCUCUAUGGGCUGUCACCCUGUGUCAGGUCCUCUUCCUAGGGUGGCUUUGCCUUACUCCUGGGAACUGGCCAGCCUCUGGUACCACUUGACUGGUGUGAGCAGUUCUGCUUGAGCCACCCUGCUGUCCCUUGCCCUGAUCCAGUGUUGCUCCUGCUGGGGAGUGUGGGGGACAGCAGUGAGGGGAACAUCUAGGAUUCCACUAGCUAGAGAGAGAAAAAAAGCAGAAACAGGACAGGGAGGUGUUCUGGGUGGGAGAAACAGAAGCAGAAAGAAUAGCCAAUAAUGAUCUUUAAGCUCCUGGAUGCAGUUAGUGGGAAGGAUGACAUCGGUCUUGUGAUAGGACAGACUUGGGGAUAUAGGUCAAGGACUGCAGGCAACAGUUGAGUCUCAGGUCUGAGAGCGAUGACCAAAGGGACUAUAGUCUUCUCCAUGCACAGGUGAUUGGGAGGCAUGUUGCAAUAGGGCUAAUGUGAUUUGAGACACAGGGACCUUUCCCAACCCCUGAGGGUGACAGUCCUUUGGGUUUAUGCUUCUACUUUUGCUACCUGCAGGUGCAGUUUGCAGCUCCAUAUCAGCCCGUGGGCCUGUGUCCCCGACUGUCUCCUUCCAGCCCCUGGCCCGUUCCACCCCCAGGAAAAGCCACUUGCCUGGACCUGCAGUGUCAGCUCCUGCAUCUGCUGGUCCCUCCUCCAUUGCCUUGGCUUCUGUAGAGGAGAUUGGUGACCAUAAUAAGACUGCCAUCUGCUCUAGUGAUGCAGAGGUACCUGCUGAUUCAACAACUACCAGCUUACUGCCCUCCAAAGCGCCUGCCAACUCGGCCCUUGUCGGCUUGGGGCCCUCCAAGUUGCCUACCAGCACAAAGCCCCCUGGUGCAAUGCCCCCUAAAGUGCCCUCCAACCCAGCACCAUCCAAGUUGCCCAUCAACUCAACACGUGCUAGCGCCAUGCCAUCCAAAGUGCCUACUGCUACCAUGAUUCCCACCAAGGUGCCUACCAACACAAUGCCCUCCAACGGGAGCAAAGCCAAGGUGAGUCCUGGCCCCUCUUAGCAGUGCCUCAGGCCCCUUCCCUUUGGGCCCUGUCCUUGGACCCUUCCCAGUCUCCAUCCUGUCUCUAGCCUGGGCAAGUCCAUGACCUCUCCUUAAAGCUGUGGGGACAAGCUGGCAACCUGCCUCAUCCUCUAGGAGGAAUGACUGUCACGAAAACCCCUAAGUAUCAUUGCCUCAAGAGAGUCAGGCAUGGGGCCACCCUACUGGUCAUGUGCUUUAACUCACUGGGACUCAGCCUCCAGUUAAGCUUAGCAACACUGAUCUGUUGAUGAGGAAGCAGUGAGGGGUGGAGCAUGGUGGCCCACUUGCCUUCAUGCCUUGCCGUUUACCACCAGUAUGUCUGGCCUGCCUGUGACCAGGCUUUCCAAACAGCAAUUUCUGGCCAGCCAGCCUGGAGCAGCUGCUCUGACCCAUUAGCCCCCAUAGCUGCCCUCUCCAAAGCCUCGCAUCUAACCCUACUGCUGUUGUCUGCCUCGAGGAAGCAAGUUCCUGAGGCUCCAGGACACUGUAGCUGCCCUGUGAUCCUAAGGCCUCAGCAGUAGGGGCUUGCUGUCAAGGGCUUCCCUGGCAGACCAGUGAGUGGGGAGAGGGCUGCAAUGAGGCCAUCAAUGAAAUGAUACUACAAAGCCUUGGUGCCUUCUUCCCCUUCUGUCCUCUUCCCCACCAAUGGUCGGGUCUCCAAGCGAUGGUGUCUUGCAAGCCAGGAUAUAGGAUGGGAACUGAGAAGUUUGGGCUUGGGCUACUAGUUCAUGCCCUGACUCGAGAACAGGGCCACCCACUUUGUCUGGCUUAUCUCCCUCCCAUACCCAUCCCCUUCCAGCACUUUCCUUUCUUUCCCAGGAGACCCCAGGGACUCCAGCAACCACAGUCACCAUUGAAGGCAGCUCUCCUUGGAGGGGUAGCAGCUCUGGGAACUUGCGCUCUGAGGCCGAGCUGAGCAAGCCUGGUACCCUGGUAUCGAGGGUCGAUAGCCAGCCAUUUUCCGGCUGUUCUGAAGAUCUCGCUAUCAGCAAUUCUCUGGUCCUGGAGUCCAGCCAAGGCCCAGAGGAAAAUGAGUACAUGUCCUUUGCUAUCCAUGUGGCUGAGGGUCCCAGUGCUGACCUCCUGGAUGGCAGCCCUGAACGACCUGAGGCCUCAGAGCCCCAGGAGGAGGAAGAGGAGGAGAUGUGCUCAACAGCACCAGGGGCUCUGUGGUGGCUGGGGACUGCCGCAGCCAGCGCGCUCCUGGCGGUGCUCCUGGUAGUGCUGUACCGGCGGCGCCCACUGCAGUGAAACCUCCAAUGCCCACCACGUUCCCAUGGUGCCCUUUCCCCAGGCUGGCAGGGGCCGGGUCAAGCAGGGGACCUCGAGAACUAUGGGCCUGAUGGAGGAGUGAGUUGUGAGGACAGCGUUUUCUGUCCUAGCUCUUGUCCUCUGCUUGUCCCUCACCAUCCUUGGCUUUCCAGGCUCUAAGCGGCCCCCAGUGCUUCAGACCUUGCCUACCUGGUAGUCUCCCUGUGUGCUCCUAAGGAGGUCCCCUCCACCAGGCUUUGUCCCCCUUUGCCCAAGCCUGAAGAUCAGGAGAUGCCCCUCAUUCUGCCCAGGUCCCCUGAGGCCAAAACAGGUGUUCUGGGUGGGGAAUUCCCACAAGACCUUGUUCCCCGCCCAGCAGCUCAGCAUCCUGACAGCAGCAAGGUGCCUAGUAUUCAGGGAGCCAGCUGCUUUGGGUUCCCUGUCUCUCUAGUCCCCCUCUAUUGGCCAGGCCACCCUGGAAGAAGGUCCAGUUCCAGUGGACCCAGGGAAGCCAGAAGCAGCCACUAGACAGGAGGAAGACCCUUGGAGCCUUUCUCCAGUCCCCUUACCUCCACCUCUGUCCUCCAUUCUCUUUGGCUUCCUACAUGGGUUGGGGAAGGGACCUGCCUAGUGGUCAGAAUUCAAGCCAGGUUCAGAUUUCAGCUCUUCCCUUUCUGGGCUGUGUGACUUUGGCAGAUGUUCAGGCUCUCUGGUCUGGUUUCCCCACGUGGACAGUGAGCUUCUAGCUCAUCCUUCAUGGACAUGGCAUACAGGAUACGGCAUCCCUCCUGUCUAACCUGGUAGAGCUGAGGGCUUGAGAGGCAGAGUGCACAGCAACAAGGGUGCGCUGUGCAGUGAGGGCAGGCUCGGGCUGUAUCCUGCUCAUCAUCUCACUAGCUCUUUAAUCCCAGGCAAGAUAUUAACCUCUGUGUGCCUCACUUUUCUCACCUGUUAAAUGGGAGUGAAAUGUCUACACACACACACACAUACACAUAUGUAUGUACGUGUGUGUAUAUUCUAGUGUUGUCCUGGGGAUUAAAUUAGUUUAUCUAUGUAAAUCUUAGACUGAAUCCUGUCAUUUCCUAAGGACUGGAUACAUGUUAUUAUUGCUAAUUAAAUGGGCAGUGAGUAGAGCACUUGGCUAUACCUUUAGAGGUAAACCCAGACCCUGCUACCUUCUCCUUUCUUAUAUCUUCCUCUUAACUUCAUCUAGUACAUUUGCGAGUUGUUGGGGAGGGAGGUCUAUCCAGUGGGCAGCUGUUCUCCCCAUCUCCAGCAGCCAGGGGUGUUCCACCACCUCCCUGGGUGGGAAGAUAGCUAUUCUCUUCACACAUUGAGGUGCACUGGUGGGUAUCCUCUUGGGUUCUUUUCAGGUGGCCUUUGCUGGACAAGUGGUAGGCACAGGAGCCUUCUCUAUUUCUGGGCUCUUCAAGGGGCAAGAACUAGAGCCCUUGGAGAAAUCAGGGGUGUGGCUUGUUAUGUAAAGCUCGAGGCAGCUUUACCCUACACCGCCCUAGGGAACUUCCGCAACCUAAUGACCUCUACUUCUGAAUUUCAGCCCCCACUCUAAACCCAACAGCCUCUAACUUGAAUCCAGGUGUGGUCUGUCCCCAAGCUAUCUAUACCAGUACUUAUCAAUCCCUUGCUCUUAACCAACCACUGUAUCCCCCACCUGUAUCCCCAGGUGCCAGCCAGUCAGUUUGUGCACAGUCCUAGUUUUAAUGUGCUAGCCUCCCAGGGUACUUUGGGGAAAAAAAAACAAAAAAAACUCACUGGGUGGAGUGGCCCAUGCCUGUAAUCCCAGCAGUUCAGGAGGACCAAAUGUUCAAGGCCAGCCUCAGCAAUUUAGGGAGAACCUAAAUAACUUAGCAAGGCCCCAUCUUUUUAAAGAAUUAAAAAGGGCAUAAAAGGAGACAUAAAACUGGAAUGUAGUUCAGUAGUGAAGCACCUCUGGAUUCAAUCUCCAGCACCCCCUGAAAAGAAAAAAAAAAAAAAUUGGCUCAAGAAGGCAACACGUAGUCCCAGAGAAUCACUCACUCAACUGGGGGAUUUCUUUUUGUUGGUGGUGGUGCCAGGGAUUGAACUCAGGGGUGCUUAACCACUGAGCCACAUCCUCAGCUCUUUUUAUUUUUUUAUUUUGAGACAGGGUCUCCCUAAAUUGCUUAGGGCCUGUUAAGUUGCUGAGGCUGGCUUUGAACUUAAUAUCCACCUGCUUUGGCCUCCUGAGCCACUGGGAUUAUAAGUGCACCACUGUGCCCAGUCAACUGGUACAAUUUCAACUACAGAAACCAGUCACUGUAGGCGAUAUAUUGGAUCAGGUGUGUGGGAAGUGUUCAGGGCCUUCCCAGCACAUUUCAGACUAUACCGCCUCAAAUCCCUGACUUGGCCUGCACUUAACACUAUCCCCAUCUCAGCUAUUAUCAAUCUGAAGACUUAAAUGCCACCUUCAGGCAGAAAUGGGAAUUAGAGUCCAGUCUCAAGAAUCCUGUUCUGGGUUGUGACUUUCAGCUGCAGGAAGGUUUACAAAGGAGUGUGAACUAGGAAGUUCACCUUCACAGCUGUGGCCCAGACAAGGUAGAGGCUGGAACACAAGGAAGGGAGGAAGGACCUCCACUCGCAGACGGGACUAGGGGACCCUUGAGGUCAAGGCUGGGUAGUCCUGGAGGGACCAAUGCCCUCCUAAGUGCCCGGGGGCAGACCCACCUGCAGCAGAACCUCUGUCCACGUUCUUUCCCUGGCUGAAGCAUUUCCUCAAAGCUCUGGGACUGUUGUGGUUUCUGUCUCUCAGGGAAGUACCCAUGGACUUUAACCUAACAAAGCCAGAACAGUGCCACUCCUUCACUUCUCUUGCUGGCUACCCUCAGGUUUAGGGAGCUUCUUAGUCAAGGAUGAGGGAGAUGCCCUUUACCCUGCCAGGUCUCAGAUUAUUAAUACCGUCUUUUAGAAAACAUUUAUUAUGGCCAGCUUUCAGACAAAUGCAAAAGUAGAGAGACCAGAAUAACACACUGCCCAUCUCCUGGCUUUAAUAUCUUGGCCAUCUUAUUCAUCCCUGCCUGUUGCCCCCUUCCUUCCUCUUUUCUUUGGUAUGGGGGGGGCAUUGAUUUCAGGGGCACUUUACCACUGAGCUACAUCCCUAGACCUUUUUAUUUUUUAUUUCAGGGUCUCACUGAGUUGCUCAGGCUGGCUUUGAAUUUGCCAUCCUCCUGUCUGCUCCUUCCAAAUUGCUGCAAUUACAUCUAUGCACCAAUGCACCCGGCUGCCCCCUUUUUUGAGUACAGGUUCUUUGUAUAAGAGUGUGAAGGGUUCAGAAAGCCAAGGGAAAGACAUAAGCUGGAAGGAUUUUAAGAUCAUCUAUUUUCUCCCAGGGCAGCAUUAGGUAACAAUGAAGCAUCCACGUUGUGGUCUGUUGGCCUCUAUAGGUGACGUCCUUCUUGAACCAGUUCAAAGCAUGAGCAGCACUGGACUCCAUCUUAGGAGGAGGGGACUGCAAGCGUCCUUCCAUUGUCAAGCUCCUUGGAGGUGCCUGCUAUUGCUCCUGUCUCAGAGAAGUGACAACACAUGAGACAUAUACCACAUGGCACAGCCCUUCCAACCAGCAGAAGUCCUCAUGCUAGGCAAUGUUCAAAUUCCACAGUCCUAGGAAUGGAGUCCUUGGGCCUUGAGGUUCCACACUUGCCAUGGGUGCACUGUCAUGCGCCUAAAGGCCAAGACCCACUUCCCCCUGGGAAGGGAGAUGAGGGGUCUUUGGUCUGAAAUGUCUGUGCUGGGAUUGAUACCGCUCCACAGAGGAUAGUCACAUGCUCCUUGCUUUCUUAGUUUUUUUUUCCUUUAUCCCAGGGCUAAGAGGUCCACAGGGGGUUCUGGGUGUGGUCACUGUGAACAUUCUUCACUUGGCUGCUGCUAACAACAAAUAAUAAUAAAGGUCGCCACUAAUGUCUGAUUUUAAUUGCGUGCUAGACACUGUGCCAAGAGCUACACAUAUAUUAGUUCAUUUAAUCCUCACAAUGACCCUAGGAAAGAGACACCAUUAUGGAUCCAAUUUAUAGCUGGUUUACAAGACUGGGAGGGAAGAAAGACAAGAGGGACAAUGACUCCUAGGCCCCAGAGCUAGAUGCUUCUUACGUCUAUGAACUUCAACUCACCUGAUAUCUGGAACAAAGUAAACCAUUUAAAGUGAGAUCAUCACACCAUCACAUCACUGCCCAGUAUGCCAAAAUCUGCCACCUACUAUAAUAGUAUAGUAACACUAGGUCUAUAAUUAAAAUAAUCUCAGGGGUGUCCUAAUGAUACGAUUAUAAUCAUUUUGUGUGUGCCCAGGCUCAAAGCCCUGGGGCUGGGUGAGGUGAGGCUGGUGCCAUAAGAAAACUAGAAUGUUAGUCUUCAUGAAGCCAGUUCGAUUUAGCAGACAUCGUUUAAGAGUCAUUUGUGCCAGGUCCAAGGCCUCUGAGGGUGCCUUCGAGUGGUUGGGGGUGUUCAUAAUGUGUGAUACAGGCAAAAAGGCUUCCAUAUCAUUCUUUCAUAUAAUUUUACAGCAAAUAUUUAUUUUGUACCCACUGUGAGCUAAACAUUAUAAUAGGUCUUGAUGACAUAGAUAAUAAAGACCUCUCCCUAAAAGUCCUCUCCCACCCCCCACUGUCUCUAACCCAGUAGUAGUUCAAUGGAGUGUCUCUGGAGCAUGGCAGGGGCCAGUGAGGGGGAAGGACAAGUAUUGUUUUGAUCUGUUUUUGACUACUGAGAAUUAUAACUAAAUUUGGAGCGGGGCGAGAAACAGUAUGAGAGAUAACAUUAAAUAUUCAUGAAAAUGUGAAUAUGUUGGAGGAAUGUAGGUUGGUGUUAUGGCCUGAACAUAUAUGUCCCUGCAAAAUUCAUAAGUUGGAACCUAACCCCAAGGUGAUGGUAUUAGGAGGUGAGUCCUUUGGGAAGUGAUUAGGUCAUGAGGGCUCCACCUUCAGGAAUGGGAUUCAUGCCCCUAAGAGGACAGAGGGAGCUGGUAUGGUGGUGAACACAUGUAAUCCCAGCAACUUGGGAGGUUGAGGCAGGAGGAUCACAAAUUCGAGGCCAGCUUCAUCAACUUGGUGAGACCCCAUUUCAAAAUACAAAGUGCUAGGGAUAUUGCUCAGGGUAGAGCACUCCUGGGUUCGAUAACCAGUACUGGAAAAAGAGAGGGUGAAAGGCUUGAAAGCCCUCUGUUCCUUCCACCAUGUGAGGACAGAGAAGUCCAUAUGAGAAAGCAGCAACCAUAUCUUUGAAGCUGAGACUGGACCUUUAUUAGACACUGAAUUUGUUGGUGCCUUGAUCUUGUACUUCCAAAUCUCUAAAAUGGAAAUUUCAAUGAUUUCUAAAUUACCUAAUAAAAGGCAUCUUGUAAUAGCAGCUUGCAUGAACUAAGCCAGUUGGUGAUACCUUACUGGAAAACUGGCAGUUGUCUACUAGAGCCUAAUAUAGGCCUAAACCUGUGACCCAGCAAUUCCACUCCUGGGUGUGUUCACAACAGAAACAAGAGUGCAUGUCCACAAAGAUGUGUGCAAGAAUGCUUCUCAGAUGCUCAGGUCCCUUGUGCAGUAUUUGCACAUCUCUGCACAUUCUCCCAUAUAGUUCAAAACAUCUUGAAAUUGCUGAGCAAAUGACACUCGCCUGUAAUGCCAGUGACUUGGGAGGCUGAUGCAAGAGAAUGGCAAGUUCAAGGCCAGUCUCAGCAAUUUAGUGAUGUCCUAAGCAACUCAUCUCAAAAAAUAAAAAGGGCUGGGGAUGUAGCUCAGUGGCAAAGAGCCUCUGGAUUCAAUCCCUAGACUCCCCCCCCCACCAAAAACAAACAAACAAACAAAAACUUCUAACCAUCACACUGAUCACACUGUCCAUAAUAUCUCCAAAAUAAGAAAAACCCAAAUUGUCUAUCCUCAGGAAAAUGGAUGUUGUAAUAAAGUCACACAGUAGAAUACUAUUAUAUAAAUGAAGACAUUGCAACAUAGAACAUGGAUGAAUCUCCUGGACCUGAUGCUGAGCCAGAGUUAGUGUACACCAAAAAGCAAAUUUUAUUUAUCUUAAAUAAACAAAGCUGAUUUAUGAUGUUAAAAGUCAGGAGAAAGAUGAACUCUGGUAGGGAUGUAGCUGGGAAGAAACAUUCUGGGGUGUUGGUCUACCUCCUGAUCCAUGUGUUGAUUUCAUGAGUAUUUUUAGUUUGUGUCCAGUACCCUGUGGGAGAUGUGAAAGUUGGGGAUGGGGAUAUGGCUCGAGCGGUAACACACUCGCCUGGCAUGCGCCGGGUGCUUGGUUUGAUCCUCAGCACCACAUAAAAAUAAAAUAAAGAUGUUGUGUCCACUGAAAACUGAAAAAUAAAUAUUAAAAAUAAUUCUCUCUCUCUCUCCUCUCUCUUAAAAAAAUAAAGAAAAUAAACAAAGAUCCUCCAAAUGAGGACUAAAAGCCAUUUAAUCAGAGCUUGAGAGGCAGUCAGCCAUCAUAAUUUGCAUGUGACAGGGACUCUAAGGCAGGCAGGGAUGCGAAACUCCAUAGUAGGAAAAAGGGAAGGUUCAGGUGUGCCGUGAUUGGAUGAUGUUGGUCUUGAGCUGUAAGAGGUGGAGAGGUGGUUGGAGGUUGGGAAGGAACGGUGAUCAUUAGCUAAAUUCUCCACCCCACCCCCAUACUGGGCAUUGAACCCAGGGGCACUUCAUACUGAGCUAUAUCCACAUUCUUUUUAUUUUUUUUUAUGUUGACGCAGGGUCUAAGUUGCUGAGGCUGGUUUUAAAUUUGCUUGCGAUCCUUUUGCCUCAGCUCUCGAAUUGCUUGGAUUACAAGUGUGUGCCACUGUGCCCAGCUCACUGGCCAAGUUUUGACUGUUCUGAGCUCAUUGCUGCACAGAUGGAAGUUUGGCUUCUGGGGCUUCCCAGGCUGCUUGCUACAAGAGUUUUAUUCACAUCCAAAUUCCUUUAUCAUAUAUAGUCAGUCAUUUUCUAUUUGCAUAUUCAGUCUCUCAGAGGGAAGGGCACGGGCUUUGAGGGAGCUGCCAUGCAGCACUGAUGGGAGGCACAUUCGCACUUCCUCCAGCUUCCCAUCCAUGUCUGGGGUCAGAGGUGCCUGCCUGUGUGAGGGAGUCCAUGGCCGGGGGGCUCUGCUCCCAGCUGUGGUGCAGCUGCUACACCAACCAAGGUUCUCUUUUUUUCUUCAAGGCUGGCUUUUUAAAGCUCAACCCCUACAGAAAGGUUUCUUUGAUUAGAUCCCUCUGGUUUUAAUAAGUGGGCUUCUUAAAUUCCCAUGGCUCACCUCAAACCCUGCUUUUAUGUGUAAAUUCUGACCUCCUUGCCUACAUUUUAAAAAACAUAAACCAGGCACCCUGGUGAUGCAGGCCUGUAAUCUCAGUGACUCUGAGGAGGACUGCGCAGGCUCAAGGCCAGGCUCAGCAAUUUAGCUAGAUUGUGUCUCAAAAUAAAAAGGGGCUGGGGAUGUGGGGAUAUAGAUCAGUGGUAGAGCACUCUUGGGUUCAAUCAUCAAUAUUGCAAAACAACAACAACAAAAUCCUAUACUGAUUACUUUUAAUUACUUUCUCAGUGAGUUUCUUCUUCCCCCGCCACUCAGCUACAUACCAGCCCUCACUUUUUUUUUUACUUUUUUAUUUUUGAGACAGGGUCUUACUAAGUUAUUUAGGGCCUUGCUAGGUUGCUGAGAUUGGCCUUGAACUUGUGAUCCUCCUGCCUCAGCCUUCCAAAUCACUGGGAUUACAGGCCUGGGCAACUGCACUGGGUUGAUUUAUCUCUUUCUUUCUCUCUCACUCUCUCUUUCUUUCCUCCCUCCCCUUUUUCUUUCCUUCUUUCCUUCUUCUCUUUUUGUGAUGUCAGGGAUUGAACAUAAGGUUUGUGCGUGUUAGGCAAAUGCUCUUCCCAGUGAUGGUUUGUGUGUGGUAUGUAACUGGGGAGAGAACCCUGGGGUGUUCUACCAUGUCCUGUGAAGGACAUGAAGAAUAAAUUCCAGGGUGUUAGAUAUGAAAAAUGACAACCCCCAUAAUACUGUGGCCUGGGAAGAGGGCAUGAGGAAGAAGGCAACACAUUGAUAACAUUGAUCCUUUCCCAAUACAUUCUUUCCCAGUGACAAGACAAGCCCUGGGGAGGAGAUAUCCAUCAAGCCUAGAAUGAUGGUCUCUAAUAAAUCCUUUCUAGAUACUGACUGUUGACCCCCGACCCUCCAUCUUGCCCAGUAAAAACAGAUCUCAAAUUCCUGGGUGCCCAAAUUGACACGCUAACUAAUCAAGUCACUUCUCAGUAUAACCUAUAACAGACUCCCCCUUUGGCUAGUGGCUCAUUUUCCGUUAGGAAAGUGGGUCUAUCAUAGGCACGACUUUAUUGCUGAAUAAAGGCUGUGCUGAUCCAUGAAGUUUGCACCCGGCUCGUUCCUUUUGGAGCUAACAUUUUGGUUCCCUGAUCAGGAAAUGGGAGAAAGGGUAAUAUUUUGUUCUUCCCUGUACCCCCAAAACCCAUUCCCUCCCCCCACAGUCAAAGUUAACCAACUAAUGAGGCCCUGAAAGUGACCACUGAACAUCUGGCACUUCCAUGGCUUUCUGAAAGUCAGGGGGACCUCCAAGCUGUGGCUCAUAGGAGCUACAGCUGAAUGCCCAAACUGACUGUGUCCCCCCAACUCUGUAGAACAUAGGCCCUUCACGCCCUUUGCAGUCCACUUUAGCUAAGCAACUGCCAGCUUUUUUGCGGGAGAAAUUUGGUGCUUGGGACAGAGGAGGGCUUAAGGCAGCUGGCCGGGGCCACUCUCUGGUGCUGCACAAAGGUCUUAUGUCUCAAAUCUGGUCCCGACAGCCCUCAGGGGUACCAAAUAUCGACCACCUGCUAGAUUUUUGUGGCUUUAUGCCACAAGAACAAUGCAAGAUUUGUAUCAAGUCCUUUAUUGGCAUUGAAGGUGUCCUGUUUCUACUUCCUCCCCUCCCCAAUCUUCCCUUCCCUUACACACCCAGCAAACCUCAGGGAUCUGAGAUCUCUUUGCCAUUUUGUUCCUGCAUCCAACACCAGCUUUUAAAUUCUCCAGAGAGGUAAGACUCAGUCCAGCUGGUCUCCAGCAGAUAGGUACCCGCCCUUUAGCUAGCUAGGACCCAGGGGGUCCCCUACCAGUGAGAUUGGUGUAAAGAUGUUUCCCUAGUCCCCAGUGGGAGAAGUCCACUCUGAUGACUGGCACACCUCUGACAUAAGAGUUCAGAGGACGCUUUGCUUUCAGUCGUCACUUCUGUCCAGCCUCUCCAAAUAUGGAAGUCAUUCGGUCAGUUCCCAGAGACAACCUCUUGGGCUGUCUCUUUAUCAAUGUUAUGACCCUCUACUCCCAAACUGACCUCAAAAUUGAACACCUCAUUAGACUCAGCACUCAGAUUUGGCCACAGUACAAAUUAGAUAAUCAGUGCCCAUGGCCCAAGUACAAAACUCUUUUUUUUUUUUUUAAUAUUUAUUUAUUUAUUUUUCGGUGGACACAACAUCUUUGUUUGUAUGUGGUGCUCAGGAUCGAACCUGGGCCGCACGCAUGCCAGGCGAGCGCGCUACCACUUGAGCCACAUCUCCAGCCCCAAGUACAAAACUCUUGAUAAAGAAAUUCUCCAGGCUUUGCAAAAAUAUUUAAUACAGAUUGGCAGGUGGUUUGAGGUUCCAUACCUUCAACCUUUCUUUUUCCUUCACUCAAUUACCAAAUAUACCACCCUAGACUUUCAUACUGCUGCUGAUACUCUCUUUCUCCCUAUGCAAUUUAUCAGCGGGUCUGCAUCUGAUACCCAUAAAAAAACAGAGAAGGGCGCCAAGGCUUCCCAGAAUCAAUUUCUAGAUCCUGCUUUUAAGACCUUUAACAAUAGGGAAGAUGAGGCCAAACAGGAGAAAGAAAAACAUCUUAAAACUAAAUAUCAGCUCCUAGCCUCAGCCAUCCAUCGCCCUAAAAAAAGCCAUUGCUACUCACGGCCCCUCCAGACCCUCUAAUAUACCUUUGGGCCCCAUUUCUGAUGUGGAUGGACUGGACCUUGGACAAAAACCCAAGGCUGCUCACCAAGCCANUCUGAAACGUCUGUGCUGGGAUUGAUACCGCUCCACAGAGGAUAGUCACAUGCUCCUUGCUUUCUUAGUUUUUUUUCCUUUAUCCCAGGGCUAAGAGGUCCACAGGGGGUUCUGGGUGUGGUCACUGUGAACAUUCUUCACUUGGCUGCUGCUAACAACAAAUAAUAAUAAAGGUCGCCACUAAUGUCUGAUUUUAAUUGCGUGCUAGACACUGUGCCAAGAGCUACACAUAUAUUAGUUCAUUUAAUCCUCACAAUGACCCUAGGAAAGAGACACCAUUAUGGAUCCAAUUUAUAGCUGGUUUACAAGACUGGGAGGGAAGAAAGACAAGAGGGACAAUGACUCCUAGGCCCCAGAGCUAGAUGCUUCUUACGUCUAUGAACUUCAACUCACCUGAUAUCUGGAACAAAGUAAACCAUUUAAAGUGAGAUCAUCACACCAUCACAUCACUGCCCAGUAUGCCAAAAUCUGCCACCUACUAUAAUAGUAUAGUAACACUAGGUCUAUAAUUAAAAUAAUCUCAGGGGUGUCCUAAUGAUACGAUUAUAAUCAUUUUGUGUGUGCCCAGGCUCAAAGCCCUGGGGCUGGGUGAGGUGAGGCUGGUGCCAUAAGAAAACUAGAAUGUUAGUCUUCAUGAAGCCAGUUCGAUUUAGCAGACAUCGUUUAAGAGUCAUUUGUGCCAGGUCCAAGGCCUCUGAGGGUGCCUUCGAGUGGUUGGGGGUGUUCAUAAUGUGUGAUACAGGCAAAAAGGCUUCCAUAUCAUUCUUUCAUAUAAUUUUACAGCAAAUAUUUAUUUUGUACCCACUGUGAGCUAAACAUUAUAAUAGGUCUUGAUGACAUAGAUAAUAAAGACCUCUCCCUAAAAGUCCUCUCCCACCCCCCACUGUCUCUAACCCAGUAGUAGUUCAAUGGAGUGUCUCUGGAGCAUGGCAGGGGCCAGUGAGGGGGAAGGACAAGUAUUGUUUUGAUCUGUUUUUGACUACUGAGAAUUAUAACUAAAUUUGGAGCGGGGCGAGAAACAGUAUGAGAGAUAACAUUAAAUAUUCAUGAAAAUGUGAAUAUGUUGGAGGAAUGUAGGUUGGUGUUAUGGCCUGAACAUAUAUGUCCCUGCAAAAUUCAUAAGUUGGAGGAGAGUCCUUUGGGAAGUGAUUAGGUCAUGAGGGCUCCACCUUCAGGAAUGGGAUUCAUGCCCCUAAGAGGACAGAGGGAGCUGGUAUGGUGGUGAACACAUGUAAUCCCAGCAACUUGGGAGGUUGAGGCAGGAGGAUCACAAAUUCGAGGCCAGCUUCAUCAACUUGGUGAGACCCCAUUUCAAAAUACAAAGUGCUAGGGAUAUUGCUCAGGGUAGAGCACUCCUGGGUUUGAUAACCAGUACUGGAAAAAGAGAGGGUGAAAGGCUUGAAAGCCCUCUGUUCCUUCCACCAUGUGAGGACAGAGAAGUCCAUAUGAGAAAGCAGCAACCAUAUCUUUGAAGCUGAGACUGGACCUUUAUUAGACACUGAAUUUGUUGGUGCCUUGAUCUUGUACUUCCAAAUCUCUAAAAUGGAAAUUUCAAUGAUUUCUAAAUUACCUAAUAAAAGGCAUCUUGUAAUAGCAGCUUGCAUGAACUAAGCCAGUUGGUGAUACCUUACUGGAAAACUGGCAGUUGUCUACUAGAGCCUAAUAUAGGCCUAAACCUGUGACCCAGCAAUUCCACUCCUGGGUGUGUUCACAACAGAAACAAGAGUGCAUGUCCACAAAGAUGUGUGCAAGAAUGCUUCUCAGAUGCUCAGGUCCCUUGUGCAGUAUUUGCACAUCUCUGCACAUUCUCCCAUAUAGUUCAAAACAUCUUGAAAUUGCUGAGCAAAUGACACUCGCCUGUAAUGCCAGUGACUUGGGAGGCUGAUGCAAGAGAAUGGCAAGUUCAAGGCCAGUCUCAGCAAUUUAGUGAUGUCCUAAGCAACUCAU
rnacentral:lncRNA from 1 species